GAUUAAAGCUCCCUUCGGGGGGUGCAUAAAGUGGCGCACGGGUGAGUAACACGUAAGUAAUCUACCCUCGGGUGGGGAAUAACGUCCGGAAACGGACGCUAAUACCGCAUAAUGCAGCGGCACCGCAAGGUGACAGUUGUUAAAGGAGCAAUCCGCCUGGGGAGGAGCUUGCGGCAGAUUAGCUUGUUGGUAAGGUAACGGCUUACCAAGGCUACGAUCUGUAUCCGGUCUAAGAGGACGGUCGGACACACUGACACUGAAUAACGGGUCAGACUCCUACGGGAGGCAGCAGUCGGGAAUUUUGGGCAAUGGGGGAAACCCUGACCCAGCAACGCCGCGUGAAGGAUGAAGUAUUUCGGUAUGUAAACUUCGAAAGAAUAGGAAGAAUUAAUGACGGUACUAUUUAUAAGGUCCGGCUAACUACGUGCCAGCAGCCGCGGUAAUACGUAGGGACCAAGCGUUGUUCGGAUUUACUGGGCGUAAAGGGCGCGUAGGCGGCGCGGUAAGUCACUUGUGAAAUCUCUGAGCUUAACUCAGAACGGCCAAGUGAUACUGCAGUGCUAGAGUGUGGAAGGGGCAAUCGGAAUUCUUGGUGUAGCGGUGAAAUGCGUAGAUAUCAAGAGGAACACCUGAGGUGAAGACGGGUUGCUGGGCCAACACUGACGCUGAGGCGCGAAAGCCAGGGGAGCAAACGGGAUUAGAUACCCCGGUAGUCCUGGCCCUAAACGAUGAAUACUUGGUGUCUGGAGUUUUAAUGCUCCGGGUGCCGUCGCUAACGUUUUUAGUAUUCCGCCUGGGGAGUACGCUCGCAAGAGUGAAACUCAAAGGAAUUGACGGGGACCCGCACAAGCGGUGGAGCAUGUGGUUUAAUUCGACGCACCGCGAAAACCUUACCUGGA
rnacentral:rRNA from 1 species